UGGCUCAGAUGGUAAAGUGUCUGCCUACAAUGCAGGAGACCCGGGUUCAAUCCCUGG
rfam:TPA: Bos taurus chromosome 29, whole genome shotgun sequence.